rnacentral:rRNA from 1 species
UACGUAGGGUGCGAGCGUUAAUCGGAAUUACUGGGCGUAAAGCGUGCGCAGGCGGCUUGCCAAGUCAGAUGUGAAAGCCCCGGGCUCAACCUGGGAAUGGCCGUUGAAACUGGCGAACUGGAGUGUGGCAGAGGGGGGUGGAAUCCGCGUGUAGCAGUGAAAUGCGUAGAGAUGCGGAGGAACACCGAUGGCGAAGGCAGCCCCCUGGGCUGACACUGACGCUGAGGCACGAAAGCGUGG